CGCCUCUUGAAACCAUAUAAGAGGUCCAGCCUGCCCAGUGACUAAGUUCAACGGCCGCGGUAUCCUAACCGUGCGAAGGUAGCGUAAUCACUUGUUCUUUAAAUGAGGACUAGUAUGAAUGGCACCACGAGGGUUAUACUGUCUCCUUUCUCUAAUCAAUGAAACUGAUCUCCCCGUGAAGAAGCGGGGAUAAAUUUAUAAGACGAGAAGACCCUAUGGAGCUUUAAACUACGUGACACUGGCUUAUAUUCUACUGUGUUUCAGAAUUACCACAAUUAUACUAGCUAGUAUGAUUACUAGUUUUAGGUUGGGGUGACCACGGAGCAAAAAUUAACCUCCAUGAUGAACGGAACCUAUUCCUGAGCUAAAAGCUACAACUUUAAGCACUAACAAAUUAACAUUAAUUGACCCAAAAUAUUGAUCAACGAACCA
rnacentral:rRNA from 1 species